UGGAGAACCCAAAACAGCUGAGUGCAGCUAGCCUCUCCCACCUUCACAUCACCUCUCCAAACACUUGUAGACAUGAAGGACUUGUCAGGAGAAUGUCUAGACAAAAUAUCGAGAUGGUAGUGUGUCAGAAACAUCCUAGCAGAGUCCUGGGAGGCAGAAGACCAGCUCAGGAGAAAUUAUACAUGCAGUGAAGUGGAGUGGGACUGCUGGCUCCAAGUUUGGAGAGAAGAACCACCCCAUAACUUUUUCCUUACUGAAAAUGAGAUUUACUCAUUGCUAAACUUAAGGACCUGAUUUUGAGAAGGAAGAUAAAAGAGAAAAAGAAAAGGCAGAGAGAUUCUUCAGGAAGCAAGACGCAAGAGGUGACGGCGCCCUGUGCACAAAGGCAUUGAGGAAGAGGAAACGAAAUCUAAGAGUGUAGUACGGGCUGUUACUGAAUGAGCUUUUCCCAUCUCUAACUUUCUAGGACUCUGAAGCUAAAGAAAUCUGAGCAGGCAAUCUCACCUCCCAUUUUUACCCGCCCCUCCUCCCACCUCCCACAUUCUGUGAAGUCUGGCUGGCCCCUCCCACUCCUCCCCAACUCAGGCAGGAGGCUUAGAUAAUAGGUGUGGCAUCGGGCCCAGGCAUUCCCACCGUCUUCUCCACCAUCACAUUCUGCUGCUUGAGCAGUUGGCCGCCUCCAUGAGUGUUAAUUGGAGAGACAUCUGAAGUGACCAGACUGGUUUUGCAGCCGCCAUGAUAGACACACUCCAUCUGCUCCAACCAGGCGCUCCUCAGCACACAGGGAGGCCGGCCUGAUUCCUCUUGCCCAGGCCUUGUUAGGAGUUACACUCAAAAGUUAGAUCCCUCGGCUUUGAAGAGGAAACUGCUUCAAAACACACUGAAUGCAGACACCCUUCAGUUUGUCGAAGAGGGGAUUAAGGCCCAGUCUUGCCCUGGGUUCAGCACAGACCUCCCAGCCAAGUUUCCAUCUGUCUGUCCUUCCACAAAUAGGGUGUGUCACUUGCAACCUCUCUUCUAGAUCAUCAGUUGACCACCCUAGUUUCCUACUCCACUAUCCCUUCCCUCCUAAGUGAUGAGGACUUGACUUUCAAAUGUCAUGAUCAGCGUUUUAAAUUAAACUCAUUUUAUCGGGUAACAGAGGGGACCUUAGAAGUCAUCUAUUCUAAUGGUUCUGACAAGUUUUAAAACAACCCUUGCCUUGCUUAGUCUUGCCUUAGCAGCAGAGCCUUUAACAACUCAUCAAAAGGAGGCUGAGAAAGGCCCAGAAAGGGGAGUGAUUGGGUGGCUAUCAUACUUAGU
rnacentral:sRNA from 1 species